rnacentral:rRNA from 1 species
UGGCGAAAGCCGCGUGGAGGAUCGUUAGAGAUGUUGAUAUGCAAAUCGCUCUCGUGACCUGCGUCUAGGGGUGAAAGUCCAAUCGAGGUCGGGAAUAGCUGGUUCCUCCCGAAACAUGUCGCAGCAUGACCUGGUCUGAGAUGGUCGGCGAAGUAGAGCACUGAUUGGGGAAGCCGGACCCGAAAGGGUCUGUUCUCUUGUCAAACUCCCAAAUCGCCGUCGUCGUAGAAGACCAGCAGUCCGGGCUGGGGGGUAAGCUUCUAGUCCGUGAGGGAGACAACCCAGACCGUGGUUAAGGUCCCAAAAUGUCGGCCAAGUGUCAACACUUAAGGGUGUCUUGGGUCAUAAACAACUGGGAGGUUAGCUUAGAAGCAGCUACCCUUUAAAGAGUGCGUAACAGCUCACCAGUCGAGAUCCAAGGCCCCGAAAAUGGACGGGGCUAAGCCGACUACCGAUACCACGGAGCACAGCAAUGUGAUCUGGUAGGGAGGCGCUCUGCGUGGGCAGAAGCAUCUGCGUGAGCAGGUGUGGACCGCAGCAGAGACGAAAAUCCUGGUAGCAGUAGCAGCAAAGUCGGGUGAGAAUCCCGAUCGCCGUAAGGGCCAGGGUUCCUCGGCAAUGUUCGUCAGCCGAGGGUCAGUCGGUCCUAAGACGUACCCUAAUCAGAGUACGCCAAAUGGGAAACAGGUUAAUAUCCCUGUACCUUUCAGCAUUAAAACCGACGCUUCCGGAUAUGUCGAGCAUCUUCGCCAGGAUGUUCAAGCGCCUAAGUUUGCGGAGAGCCGUAAUGGCGAGAAACAAACGAAUGCGUGAUAACGUAAGUCGGCAAAUUCCAGGAGUCCGUGAAAAGGGAGCUGAAAGUCCGUACCGAGAACCAACACUGGUGCCCCAAGCUGAGAAGGCUAAGGCGUGUCGGCAUAUGUUAGCUAAGGGAAUUCGGCAAGUUAGCCACGUAACUUCGGGAUAAGUGGUGCCUGCUUCGAAAGAAGCAGGUCGCAGCGACUAGGGGGCUCUGACUGUCUAAUAACAACAUAGGUGAUUGCGAAUCCGUAAGGACUAGUACAAUCACUGAAUCCUGCCCAGUGCAGGUACCUGAAAACCCGGUUCAACGGGAAGAAGGGCCUGUCAACGGCGGGGGUAACUAUGACCCUCUUAAGGUAGCGUAGUACCUUGCCGCUUAAUUGGCGGCUUGCAUGAAUGGAUCAACGAGAGCCCUACUGUCCCUAGCUGAUACCCGGUGAACCUUACAUCCCAGUGCAGAGUCUGGGGACCCCUAAUGGGAAGUGAAGACCCCGUGGAGCUUUACUGCAGCCUGCCGCUGGGUUGUGGUUCUGAUUGUAGAGCAUAGGUAGGAGACGUCGAAGCCAGGGCGCCAGUCCUGGUGGAGUCGACCUUGGAAUACUACCCUUUCGGAGCUACGACCCUAACACUGAGAAGUGGACCCCGGUAGGCGGGCAGUUUGGGUGGGGCGCCACGCCCUAGAAAAGAUAUCUAGGGCGCCCUAAGGUCGACUCAGUUGGGUCGGAAACCCAACAAAGAGUGUAAAGGCAUAAGUCGGCCUGAUGUUACUCCCAACAGCAAGGAGUGACAAGACGAAAGUCGGGCUUAGCGAACCUCUCAGCCCCCUUGGUGGGGGCGUUAGAUGACAGAAAAGCUACCCCGGGGAUAACAGAGUCGUCACCGGCAAGAGCACAUAUCGACCCGGUGGCUUGCUACCUCGAUGUCGGUUCUUUCCAUCCUGGCCGUGCAGCAGCGGCCAAGGGUGAGGUUGUUCGCCUAUUAAAGGAGAUCGUGAGCUGGGUUUAGACCGUCGUGAGACAGGUCGGUUACUAUCUGUUAGGGGUGUCUUGCGGUCUGAGGGCAGGUUGGCUUUAGUACGAGAGGAACAAGCCAACGACGCCUCUGGUCUAUCGGCUGUCUGGCAAGGCAAAGCCGAGCAGCUACGCGUUCGCGGAUAAGGGCUGAAAGCAUCUAAGCCCGAAACCGUACCUGAAAAUAGACCGCUUAGGAUACUUGU